rnacentral:rRNA from 1 species
UCAAGUAAUUAAGUGCAUGUGGUGGAUGCCUUGGCAGUCAGAGGCGAUGAAAGACGUGAUAGCCUGCGAAAAGCUCCGGGGAGGCGGCAAAUAUCCUUUGAUCCGGAGAUGUCUGAAUGGGGGAACCCACCUACUUUAAGGUAGGUAUUGCAACAUGAAUACAUAGUGUUGCAAGGCGAACGAGGGGAAGUGAAACAUCUCAGUACCCUUAGGAAAAGAAAUCAAUUGAGAUUCCCUCAGUAGCGGCGAGCGAACGGGGAUCAGCCCAUUAAGUUAUGUGUGUUUUAGUGGAACGCUCUGGGAAGUGCGAACGUAGAGGGUGAUAUUCCCGUACACGAAAGGGCACACAUAAUGAUGACGAGUAGGGCGAGGCACGUGAAACCUUGUCUGAAUAUGGGGGGACCAUCCUCCAAGGCUAAAUACUCCUGACUGACCGAUAGUGAACCAGUACCGUGAGGGAAAGGCGAAAAGAACCCCUGUGAGGGGAGUGAAAUAGAUCCUGAAACCGCAUGCAUACAAGCAGUGGGAGCACCUUCGUGGUGUGACUGCGUACCUUUUGUAUAAUGGGGUCAGCGACUUAUAUUCAGUAGCGAGGUUAACCGUAUAGGGGAGCCGUAGAGAAAUCGAGUCUUAAUAGGGCGUUUAGUUGCUGGGUAUAGACCCGAAACCAGGCGAUCUAUCCAUGAGCAGGUUGAAGGUUGGGUAACACUAACUGGAGGACCGAACCCACUGUCGUUGAAAAGCCAGGGGAUGACUUGUGGAUAGGGGUGAAAGGCUAAUCAAGCCUGGUGAUAGCUGGUUCUCCCCGAAAGCUAUUUAGGUAGCGCCUCGGACGAAUACCAUAGGGGGUAGAGCACUGUUUCGGCUAGGGGGUCAUCCCGACUUACCAAACCGAUGCAAACUCCGAAUACCUAUGAGUACUAUCCGGGAGACAGACUGCGGGUGCUAACGUCCGUAGUCAAGAGGAAAACAAUCCAGACCGCCAGCUAAGGCCCCAAAAUCAUAGUUAAGUGGGAAACGAUGUGGGAAGGCAUAGACAGCUAGGAGGUUGGCUUAGAAGCAGCCACCCUUUAAAGAAAGCGUAAUAGCUCACUAGUCGAGUCGGCCUGCGCGGAAGAUGUAACGGGGCUAAAACUAUGUGCCGAAGCUGCGGAUGUAUACUUUGUAUACGUGGUAGGGGAGCGUUCUGUAAGCCGAUGAAGGUGUGUUGAGAAGCAUGCUGGAGGUAUCAGAAGUGCGAAUGCUGACGUGAGUAACGACAAAACGGGUGAAAAACCCGUUCGCCGAAAGACCAAGGGUUCCAGUCCAACGUUAAUCGGGGCUGGGUGAGUCGACCCCUAAGGCGAGGCCGAAAGGCGUAGUCGAUGGGAAAAUGGUUAAUAUUCCAUUACUUCUGUGUAAUGCGAUGAGAGGACGGAGAAGGCUAAAUCAGCCUGGCGUUGGUUGUCCAGGUGAAAGGAUGUAGGCAUGUAUCUUAGGCAAAUCCGGGGUACUCUAUGCUGAGAUCUGAUAGCAAGCUGUACUUGUACAGCGAAGUGGUUGAUGCCAUGCUUCCAGGAAAAGUCUCUAAGCUUCAGUUACACAGGAAUCGUACCCGAAACCGACACAGGUGGUCAGGUCGAGUAGACCAAGGCGCUUGAGAGAACUCUGCUGAAGGAACUAGGCAAAAUGGUACCGUAACUUCGGGAGAAGGUACGCUGUUGUUGGUGAUGGACUCGCUUCCUGAGCUGACGACAGCCGCAGAAACCAGGCCGCUGCAACUGUUUAAUUAAAACAUAGCACUCUGCAAACACGAAAGUGGACGUAUAGGGUGUGAUGCCUGCCCGGUGCUGGAAGGUUAAUUGAUGGGGUUAGCGUAAGCGAAGCUCUUGAUCGAAGCCCCAGUAAACGGCGGCCGUAACUAUAACGGUCCUAAGGUAGCGAAAUUCCUUGUCGGGUAAGUUCCGACCUGCACGAAUGGCAUAAUGAUGGCGGCGCUGUCUCCAGCAGAGGCUCAGUGAAAUCGAAAUCGCUGUGAAGAUGCAGUGUACCCGCGGCUAGACGGAAAGACCCCGUGAACCUUUACUGCAGCUUGACACUGAACUUUGACCUUACUUGUGUAGGAUAGGUGGGAGGCUUUGAAGCUGGAACGCUAGUUCCAGUGGAGCCGUCCUUGAAAUACCACCCUGGUAAUGUUGAGGUUCUAACUCUGUCCCGUGAUCCGGGACGAGGACCGUGUCUGGUGGGUAGUUUGACUGGGGCGGUCUCCUCCUAAAGAGUAACGGAGGAGUACGAAGGUGCGCUCAGCGUGGUCGGAAAUCACGCGUAGAGUAUAAAGGCAAAAGCGCGCUUAACUGCGAGACCCACAGGUCGAGCAGGUACGAAAGUAGGUCUUAGUGAUCCGGUGGUUCUGUAUGGAAGGGCCAUCGCUCAACGGAUAAAAGGUACUCUGGGGAUAACAGGCUGAUACCGCCCAAGAGUUCAUAUCGACGGCGGUGUUUGGCACCUCGAUGUCGGCUCAUCUCAUCCUGGGGCUGAAGCAGGUCCCAAGGGUAUGGCUGUUCGCCAUUUAAAGAGGUACGCGAGCUGGGUUUAGAACGUCGUGAGACAGUUCGGUCCCUAUCUACCGUGGGCGCUGGAAAUUUGAGAGGAUCUGCUCCUAGUACGAGAGGACCAGAGUGGACGAACCUCUGGUGUACCGGUUGUGACGCCAGUCGCAUCGCCGGGUAGCUAUGUUCGGAAGGGAUAACCGCUGAAAGCAUCUAAGCGGGAAGCCUACCUCAAGAUAAGAUUUCCCUAGGACUUUAUGUCCUCUAAAGAGCCGUUCGAGACUAGGACGUUGAUAGGUUGGAUGUGGAAGCAUAGUGAUAUGUGAAGCUGACCAAUACUAAUUGCUCGUGAGGCUUGACUAU